rnacentral:misc_RNA from 1 species
CAAAAGUGCUUGCUGCAGUAUCAUCCAAUGCAAAAAAGUUAAGUUUAAUUAGGUCCAUUCCGUGAGUAACCUUUUUUUGGAUAAGCUCCAAUAGUAACUCUUCGAAAAUACUAAUAGUCAAAAUUUCCCAAUAAAUGCACGCAUUUGCUUUUUCUUUAUCUCACUAUUUCAACACUUAACCAAUAGCCCCUCUCUCUCUGUAUUAAAUGACCUCCACAGACCAGCAGGCAUCGCAUUAAUUUCCUCUUCUUCUUCCCAAUGUAACUCUCCCCCAACCAUUAAUGUCACUGACCCCAUCACCCCGCGCGCCUCCUCGGUCAUCGUCCGCCAUAACUAUCAUUGAUCGGACGGUUGUCGUUUCCCCAAAAAUCACCUGUUCAUCCAUCUUCACCGUCUGUGAUAUCUGUCCGGUGACAGUAAGGCUUCUGGAUCACCGCUCCUAAGACGGCUAGAUGAGUAUACACCUCCACCACCACCAACCCCCGAUGUUCUCAUGAACAUCGGACUUGCGAAUGAUUUGCUUCUUCUUGACGAGCUUCCACCUCCGCCGGUACUGUAUCUCGCGCUUGAUUCCGAUAAAGGGAAAAAUCCACCUCUAGUUCGCCGGAAGAAGGGUGAUUUCAUCCCUCUGUAAUAGCGGAAGGAGAAUACUCUUGGCUUUGUUAAAGAGCUGAACGGUGAAGGCCUUUUGCUCCAGAAGCUUCCCGAUCCUAUUGCUCUGCGGUACCGCCAUGGUGAAGCUGUUGCUGGUUCGAGCAUUAAUCUCUCUGAUCCCAAAUUCCUCUCGAAUCCGAAGGAGUAAGAACGUUUUAGAAAAAUAUCACGUCUGUUAAAUCUCUCCUCUGAUUGGAUGUUCCUCCUUGGCGACGGUUCCUGUGUGAUCUCUGACACCGUCGUUGUAUCGGAUUCUGGCUGAAUUUCAUCCAAAGGCUCUAGAAUUGUGCUCUCCAACAUCAUAUCAUCGAAACUUGGGCGAAUCCUUGCUGCCAUCAACGGAGUAAACGGCGACUCUGGACGGAAUAUUCCAGCACGACACAAAGGGCAAUUCGCGUGUGAUUUAAGCCAUAUAUCAAUACAGUCCACAUGAAAGGCAUGUGAACAAACCGGAAGAGUACGCAUAUAGUCGUUCUCUUCGAAUUCCAGUAAGCAAACCGCACAAUCAUGAACGCCGCUUUUCCGAGUGUAGACAGAAAGAGGAAUCCUUUUGAUCACUGAAUCAUCCAAUCCGUAAGGAGAUAACACAUGGAAAGCACCAGUCGGAUCAAACGGAUACGGAGGCGACUCAAUAUCACCCGCAGAUGACGAGGGAACGUAACGUCGGCGACGGCGGCGCCACAGUCUAUAACGGCCGUGUAAACGGAGCAGAUGGCGAGAGAGUAGCCGCGAGUAAGUAAUGAUAACAAAAGCAGUAGCAAUAAUAACAACCAUCGCAAUCAAAGGAGGACUGAAAUCAACCGGUAACUUAGCCGGCGGUGGAGUAGUUGAUAAAUCUGAUGCUGACGUGGAUGUUGAUGAAGUGGUUGCAGGUUGAAAUGUGGAUGAAUGAUGAAACGGAUGAUUCAAUGAAGGUGAAGGAGCUUUUUGAGAAUUAUUCAGGUGUGACGGCACCGGUGAGGGAGCAGGAGCUAUAUGAUGGUGGUGGUGGUGGAUCAUGAUGAUGAGGUGCAGGGGGCAAUUAACAAAAGGUGGAAUUGGUGCUUUUAUUUAUUUCUACUCCCUUUAUGAGGGGGGGCUUUGGUUAAUGGGGGAAUGUGUUGGUGUAAAUGUUUUAGUGCGUUUUUUUGUGUG